rnacentral:rRNA from 1 species
AGCGGCGGACGGGUGAGUAAUGCUUGGGAAUCUACCUAGUAGUGGGGGAUAACGUGUGGAAACGCACGCUAAUACCGCAUACGUCCUACGGGAGAAAGCAGGGGAUCUUCGGACCUUGCGCUAUUAGAUGAGCCCAAGUCGGAUUAGCUAGUUGGUGGGGUAAUGGCUCACCAAGGCUACGAUCCGUAGCUGGUCUGAGAGGAUGAUCAGCCACACUGGGACUGAGACACGGCCCAGACUCCUACGGGAGGCAGCAGUGGGGAAUAUUGCACAAUGGGCGAAAGCCUGAUGCAGCCAUGCCGCGUGUGUGAAGAAGGCUCUAGGGUUGUAAAGCACUUUCAGUAGGGAGGAACAGCUUAAGACUAAUACUCCUGAGCCUUGACGUUACCUACAGAAGAAGCACCGGCAAACUCCGUGCCAGCAGCCGCGGUAAUACGGAGGGUGCGAGCGUUAAUCGGAAUUACUGGGCGUAAAGCGCGCGUAGGUGGUUUGAUAAGCUAGCUGUGAAAGCCCCGGGCUCAACCUGGGAACUGCAGUUAGAACUGUCUGGCUAGAGUACAGUAGAGGGUGGCGGAAUUUCCUGUGUAGCGGUGAAAUGCGUAGAUAUAGGAAGGGACAUCAGUGGCGACGCGGCCACCUGGACUGAUACUGACACUGAGUGCGAAGGCGUGGGGAGCAAACAGAUAGAUACCCUGUUAGUCCGCUCGGA